AGGACGAACGCUGGCGGCGUGCUUAACACAUGCAAGUCGAGCGGAAAGGCCCUUCGGGGUACUCGAGCGGCGAACGGGUGAGUAACACGUGAGUAAUCUGCCCAUCGCUUCAGGAUAGCCAUCGGAAACGGUGAUUAAUACUGGAUAUGACAUUCCUUCGCAUGUUGGGGUGUGGAAAGUUUUUUCGGCGGUGGAUGUGCUCGCGGCCUAUCAGCUUGUUGGUGGGGUAAUGGCCUACCAAGGCUUUGACGGGUAGCCGG
rnacentral:rRNA from 1 species